CCCCUAGAUGCUCUGGGCCGCACGCGCGCUACACUGGUCGAUGCAACGAGUUUCUUUCCUUGGCCGACAGGCCUGGGCAAUCUUUGAACAUCGAUCGUGAUCGGGAUAGAUUCUUGUAAUUUUUGAUCUUAAACGAGGAAUUCCUAGUAAACGCAAGUCAUCAGCUUGCAUUGAUUACGUCCCUGCCCUUUGUACACACCGCCCGUCGCACCUACCGAUUGAAUGGUCCGGUGAAAUCUCCGGACUGGCGUGAGUCGGAGCAAUCUGACAAACACCGGAAAGUUGAUUAAACCUUACCAUUUAGAGGAAGGUGAAGUCGUANCA
rnacentral:rRNA from 1 species